UCUUGUUUCCCCGGCACUUAGUUGUGCCUUUUAACAAUCGCAAAGGCUCCGUUUCACGUCCUGUCCAUCGCCCAGUUUUCAGGAGACAGACAAGGUGUUGAUUUUAAUUAAGGCUUUUCUUUCUAUCGGUGUUUCAACAAUUCCAGGCAGAGAAACUCAGCAGCCUGGAGAGUAUAACGGGGUGAGUGCUGCAGGCUCCUUCGGCAAGCAAUAAAAUCACACGGGGAUCUGGACUCGCUAAGGAGACGAACCAAUCUGUACUGCUGCAGUUGUCAGCUGUGUACGGACUGUGCUGGGCCAGGCCCUGCUGUGAAACCAACCCGGAGGAGGCAGAGAGAGAUCAGAAACAUUUUAACCAGGACUGCAGCGUGGAAAAGAGACCAAUUGGAGUCAUUCCUUAAAACCGGUGAAAGGUUUUACCUCGGCAGCCCUGGCAAUGUAAGUCCUUUAUCCACAGAACAGAUCCACCAGCGGGAUUCUUCUGCACCUAUCCCAGCUCUGGUCCCAUGGGCAGUUCAGUCUCCCGGGCUCCUUUGAACCUGGGACCCUGUGCCAAGGCUGCCUGAAGUGGCACUUCUGUGAGGCAGGUGAGUGCUUGGUCUCUGGACACUCCACUGAGAGCACUGAUUUCACAUGGGUCACCAGCUGAACACUGUUUACACCAGCCUGGUUUGGAUUCAAACCAGCAGCCGGAAGAGGCUCUGUAGCCCCCUUACUCAUCACCUGAGCUCUCCUCCCUGCUGGGUUUCCUUUCAGCCAUUGAAGAAAAGGUUGAUGCUACUCCAGCCAGAGCUUCUCCCAUUGGGAGCUGCUGCAAACACGGUUGGAGCGCUCCUGUCCAGCUCUGCUUUCAAUCUAAGGCAGCCCUGAGCAACCAUCUCUCCGGGAGUUGCACCCCAGCAUACUGCAAUGGCACCGCCAGCAGUGCCUGAGGCCGAGCCCACGACACAGACGAGAAGCCGGGAGGUAUGUUUUAAAUACUUUUAUUUCUUAAUUUACAUAAAGGUAUAGAUUUGGCUUUAUUUCUCUUUAUACUCUGAGAUUGACAAUCGGUUGCUCUUAAAAAAUAAAAUAGCCAUUUGCUUCUGAAAGAAAUCAGAAAACUAUUUUAUACUCCUGCCUUGUAUAACAAGAAAACCUAUGAUAUACUCCCAUACAUCACAUAGUAGAAGUGAUUGCAAGUGCUGGUUUACAAAACAAUAAAGCAAAUAGAGAAGAAACCAAAUAACUAGGGUGUGGGGGAAAGUGAGACAAGCUUAGUGUUCCAGUCUACCUAGAGUUUAUUUAUGUCUCCAUCACUCGUUUGUCUCACCCUGAGGUUUGACUGAGAUUAGAGGAUGCUGGCCCAGUACUUCAAGCUUCACGCAGGUAAGCAGUCCUGUAGCUUUUACCAAACCCAGCUCUGUGAGUAAAGGCUACAGGAUGUGAAUACUGAUUUGG